rnacentral:rRNA from 1 species
UACGAGGGGUGCAAGCGUUGCUCGGAAUUAUUGGGCGUAAAGGGUAGGUAGGUGGUCUCAUUUGUCUGGGGUGAAAGCCUUGAGCUUAACUCAAGAAGUGCCCCGGAAACGGUGAGACUGGAGUCCUGGAGAGGGUCGUGGAAUUCCCGGUGUAGCGGUGAAAUGCGUAGAGAUCGGGAGGAACACCAGAGGCGAAGGCGGCGACCUGGACAGGCACUGACACUCAACUACGAAAGCGUGGGGAGCAACA